GAUGAACGCUAGCGGCAGGCUUAACACAUGCAAGUCGAGGGGUAUAUCACUUCGGUGAUAGAGACCGGCGCACGGGUGCGUAACGCGUAUGCAAUCUACCUUUUACAGGGGAAUAGCCCAGAGAAAUUUGGAUUAAUGCCCCAUAGUAUAUUUGAAUGGCAUCAUUUGAUUAUUAAAGUCACAACGGUAAAAGAUGAGCAUGCGUCCCAUUAGUUAGUUGGUAAGGUAACGGCUUACCAAGACGAUGAUGGGUAGGGGUCCGGAGAGGGAGAGCCCCCACACUGGUACUGAGGCACGGACCAGACUCCUACGGGAGGCAGCAGUGAGGAAUAUUGGUCAAUGGGCGCAAUCCUGAACCAGCCAUGCCGCGUGCAGGAUGACGGUCCUAUGGAUUGUAAACUGCUUUUAUACGGGAAGAAACACCGAUUCGUGAAUCGGCUUGACGGUACCGUAAGAAUAAGGAUCGGCUAACUCCGUGCCAGCCGCCGCCGUAACAC
rnacentral:rRNA from 1 species